rnacentral:tRNA from 1 species
GCCUUAGUAGCCCAGUGGUUAGAGUAUGGGGUUGUUAAUCCCAAGUUGUAGGUUUAAUUCUCACUUAAGGCC